UAGUAGUUGACUGAGUAAUUAACAGUAAUAUGAUAAAGUAAUUGUAACAGUGCAAGUUGAGUUCUUCUGAAAUAAAAAAUCUGAGUGAUUUUGCAUUUGAGCUGCAGGCUUCUAAUUGCUUGCAUGUAUUCUGCGAGAGAGAAAGAGACAAACAUAGCUGUUGCUGACCGCAGUAUGUGUGCUGAGUAAGAGCGAGAUAGCUACAUUGGCACUUCGUGCAGGGUCGUUCUUAUUUUAAGUGAACGCAGAGAAUACCACUGUUAAAAGCCAAUAUCACUCAAUCGUGAGACAAUACGACUGGAAAUGGACAAUCUCAUGAUGCAGUAAUCGAGUCUUUUAACAGUUGGGCAGCCUGUCAAGUAACAGGCGACAAAUUGUACGCUCUGCAAACGCGCAUAGGGAAAGACAAAGCCAAAAUCGAUCUAAUUGGCACAAGUUCGAAAAAUAAUUAUUGUAUAAAGUUACAUCUAUGCCUAGAAUAUUGCAAAUUAUUUGAUUACAUACGGCCUGUACAUAUUUUGCUGACCUCAACUGUGUGUAUGGCACCGCAGCUGGGUGAACGGCUCCGUGUGGCAUGCAACAUGGCAGCAGUGGGAGCAGCAACAGACGGACAGACGGCCAGACAGAAGGCACAUGUUGGGCUGCCGCCAGGUAGCUGCUGCGGCUUUUCGGGCAACGAUUUUAAAUGACUUUUGCUCGUUUGCAGCACACGAAUUGACAAAUGACUAAAUUUGUGUAUGCCACAUGCCGCACUCAUGGCGCACCCCUUCAACCAACCCCAACCCCAGCCCAACCUGCUGCCUCCAAAGCUUGUCGUUUGUCCUAAAAUUAACGAGAACGACUACAAUUUGCAAGCUCCAUGGCCAGCCAAUGAAUUGUGUAUCCUGGCUCACGUUUUGACAAAUGUGAGCCACAGAACCCGACUCCGGCCCCCAGGCAGAGCCACUGUCACAGUCCCAGCCCAAGCUUCAGCCCCUGCCACGCCCCGACAAUGUUUCAUAAUCAAAUUUUGUUUGCCAGCCGCUGCGAUUGCACAAAGUGACCCAACCUACUUGUAAAGUGCACGAUAAUUGAAGAUUUAUUUGGCAAACGCAUGCAGAUUGAGGUCGAAACAGACAGAAUAAAACAAAGAGACAGACAGACAGACAUAUAGACAGUGACAAAAUGACAUUAUAACUGUUAAAAGCCAAAUGUUUGAUUAAAUUAGAUACAUGAAUAAAAUUGAAUAAUAAUUAGUUUCUCAGUUAA